AUUUCUUCUUUCUCGUUGAAAAUUUUCGUACCGCAUUUUCUCUCUCUCGUUGAAAGUUUCGGACAUUAUCAUCUUCUCCAUUUCUUCUUAUGCUUUACUGUCAUCUUGCUGAAAUUAUCCACAAAAUCACUUUAAAUCACCUUUUUCAUCCCUAAUUUGAGCUACCCAAAGGAUUUGGGCAACUUUAGUGACCUCGCAAAUAGCAAAAAUCCCUAGAUUGGUGCUGCACUUGCUUGCUGGCAAGAACACAGAAAAUUGGCCGUGAAUUUUGGGGGAAAGCCAGAGUUCGAAGACUGAAUCUUAAGGAAAACAAGAGCUAAGGGAGUGAAGGCAUAAUUUGAGGUAUGUAAUCUCAAUAUUUUCCAUCUAAUUUCGAUAUUUUUUUGUCAAAUGUAGGUCGGAUAGACUGAAUCUUGAGUUUAUGGGUCAAAUUUUCCACUUAAAUCUUGAGUAUUGGUUCAACUUCGCCGACUCAGACGGCGAUAGCUGCUUGACUGGCAAUGAUGCUAUGAAAAUUUUCGCCAUGUCCAAUUUGUCUAGGCCUGAACUCAAGCAGGUAUAUUCUGUUAUGUGUCUGGAUGGGGAAUUAUUGUACGCACAUAGUAGGUAGGUGAUGUGGAUGAAUAAUUUAAUAUCGAUUAUGGAAAGGACCUUCUCUCUCUCUCUCUCGGAGGAAAAAUGUUAAAUGUGCGAUUGGUCUACUGCUUAAGAAAUAUUAUUAGUAUAGUCGAUUUGGAGUUUUUUUUAAUUGUUUUGGUUAUUGGUUUAGUAAGUGAGUCGAAGUGCUAGAUUUAUGAAAUCUGAUGUACCUGUAUCUGCGUUUUAAUUUUAUGCACUCCAAAGUGGAAAUUGUCAAUGUCAAAGGCAGUUUUGAUAUAUUCAUCUACCAGCGGAAAACUCUAAUUGCCGUUAGGAGAUGAAAUUGAAUUACUAAGACAUUGAAGGAUUUUACCUUCGAAAUUUUUGUUAUCUCUCUUUUGCUGUUUACCUUUAUUGCAUUGAUCAUCGUCCUUACCAGGGUUUUAGAGCCAUAGCGAGCCAUAUUUCUUUUCAAUUGCUGGACUUAUGGAUUAUCCGUUCUCUAGUUUGUUUGACCAUUGUGAUUGCUACCACAGUUGGUAAUUUGCUCUUGAAACAUGUUUGUUAGCGUAUUUGAAGUGGCAGAGGAGUUUGAAUUGAACUCCAGAUAUGUUGAAUCCACAAUUUCUUAUGUUGUCUUGGGAACAUUGUUGGCUGCUUUGGUCCCUGUUCUGGGCUUUAAUCCGGUCAUGGCAUCCGAGCAUUUUGCUUCAUUUUUGGGUAAUUUGCUGUGCCAUGGUGACUGUACUUAUAGCAUUAGUAGCCUCCAGCCCAACUAAGGGUUGGAGUGGGCGUAGUCUAAGUCUGCUUGAUCCGCAUGCUUUUUGCCACUUUCUGAUGCAAGCUCCUUUAGCAUCCUUUACAUAGUUACAUUAGUAUAUUUUUCAGGUGUCAUGGUGCCACUAAUGCUUGUACUUGGUCCAGCAGUAUGCAAAAUGCCUGGAAUUUCUCUUUCAGGAGCUUUUGAUGUUCUUACUCAUUCGCUCAAAUUUCAGUUGCCUAGUACAUCAGAAAUUUUUACAUCUGAUUAGAGAAGGUUCAUUGUGUCUGGGCAGCAGCAGAAGCAUGUUCAAUACCCUUCAUAGUGCUAACAAGUCAAUCUCAUGAUGGCCUUCGCAUUUUUUAUGACUUCAAAGAGGCCUAUGCAUGGUUGAGCCAUAACACAGAUGUAGAUCAUAAAUCUAACUUCAUAUUUUGAUCGUGAGAAGACUGAUGCUCGUGCUGCAAGAGAUGCUCAAAAUCUGACCACAGCUGUGUAGUCUAUGCUUUAGUGGCAAAAUCUAGUAUUCUAUCUUUUGGGAAGGAUAUGUAUUGGCCAUUAGAACUUACAACUGAUUAUGUGGGAUUACUAUAUUCCCAACAUUUGUGGUUCACUUCUGUUUUGACUAAUUUGGAGAUGUGUUAUGGCCAAAUAUAUGAAUUUGUGGCAUAUAUUCUAUGUUGGUUUUGCCUUUUGUCAUAUUGAAUGUUUUGUUA